UACGUAGGGGGCGAGCGUUGUCCGGAAUCAUUGGGCGUAAAGCGCGUGUAGGCGGCCCGGUAAGUCCGCUGUGAAAGUCCAGGGCUCAACCCUGGGAUGCCGGUGGAUACUGUCGGGCUCGAGUCCGGAAGAGGCGAGUGGAAUUCCUGGUGUAGCGGUGAAAUGCGCAGAUAUCAGGAGGAACACCGAUGGCGAAGGCAGCUCGCUGGGACGGUACUGACGCUGAGGCGCGAAAGCGUGGGAAGCAAACAGG
rnacentral:rRNA from 1 species